rnacentral:rRNA from 1 species
GACGAACCGUGCGAACGUUAUUCGGAAUCACUGGGCUUAAAGCGCGUGUAGGCGGGUCGGCGCGUCGGACGCUGAAAUCCCCCAGCUCAACCGGGGAAGGGGCGCCGAUACGGCCGGCCUGGAGGGACGUAGGGGGGGCUGGAACUUCCGGUGGAGCGGUGAAAUGCGUUGAGAUCGGAAGGAACGCCCGUGGCGAAAGCGAGCCCCUGGACGUCUACUGACGCUGAGACGCGAAAGCCAGGGGAGCGAACGGG